rnacentral:ribozyme from 1 species
AAUCGGAAAAAAGUAUGUGUGUUUCUUGUCCCUCUUUUGUGCUUGUCUGUUUCUUUUUGCCUUUUUUUUGUGUCGCACUAUUUGUGUCUCU